rnacentral:lncRNA from 1 species
GUAAUCUUCACAGGGGCAAGAAUCUUUACCCAUUUGCUUCACCACUGUAUCCCCAGUGCCUGGGACAGUGCUGCUGAGUGAUGAGGAAAAGCACUGCUCACUGGCCAAGCCUAACUGGAAUUCGGAGGGCACUGUACUCCCAACAGAUCAGAGGGCAAGCAGACAGCAAGAGAUGUGCAGGUCACAGGCUGGAAGCUGUGUAUGGUCCUCACCAGCUUUGCUGCUGUUAGGCAUUUGAUUCCUGACUGAGACUGAAGGAAGAAAUGCAUUCCUGUUGAAACUGCUCAUUCGUUCUGAACUGCUGAUGCUCCCUUGAGGAUUUAUGGGUUCAACACUGCUGAACUGAGGAUUAGAAGUUUAACUCAAGGGCUGAUCUAUUUAGCCACCAUCCUGGAAAGAAAAGCCCAGCCUACCACGGAGGGUGAAGCCAGAUGGGAGAGCUGGGCUACAAGGGGGGCAGCCCCCGCAGCUGAGCGUGCUCAGUGAAGAUUCCUGGAGCAAGUGGUCACUCCAAUAAAGUUUCUGAUUCUGUCCAGAAAUCCUCAACUCACAUAGUAAGAAGUGGAUUGAAGGACAAUUUGAACACAGUUUUCUACAUAAUCAAAAAGCAUAUAAUUGAAGAUUGAACUUGAGCUAUAGCUUAAUGUGUUGUUUCUGCGCUGUUCUAUUUUAUUAGCU